GCGUUAUGCUCUUCGAAAAUUACCCCCUACGAUACCAACAAAUGACGCUUAUUGCAAGGAAAAAAGGGGGAGAUUGUAAAUCAUGCUCACCGCUCAACGGUACCUAGCGUUGAGCGGUGGCGUCGUGUUAAGCCCCUGGCAAGUGUACCAGAUCGUUAUCAAGUAAUAUAAAAUGAUAAGUCCAAGUAUCGUUCUCCCAAAGGACUCUUAGGCCUUAUCUUUCAUGUAAAUUGAUUGUAUAAGACUUGGAAGAAAAAUAAAUUGUAUUGUUGAUGGAAAAACCGAAUUUAAACAUGUAGAUGCAAAGUGUGAUCAAUUGGCAAAGAAAAGAUAUGAAUGAAUGAGUUGUUGGGGUUUACAAUUUCAUCCUUUACCACCCUCUUAUAUCUACUUUUCUUAUUUAAUUCACUUUAUUAUCAAAUUGUCAUGCAAACUUUCUUAGCCUACUCUAAACCCGAUCUCUCGACGAAAAGAGCCUAUCACUAACUACUAGUUUACUAUCUCUAGUCUCCCUGAGUAAUUAGCAAUGCAAUAUAUCACAGAAGCAAAAACAAUUGAUCGUCCUACCC
rnacentral:lncRNA from 1 species